CCUGCAGAAAGCACAACAGAAUUGGAGAGUUUCAGCUUAUAUGAUGCACACUCUAAAGCUAUAUCUAGGGUUUCCUUAAUAUUUUGCUAAACAAGCUAACUUUGGGAUGCUUUAUCUUCAGAAGUGACUAUUCGACAUUGUAGUGGUUCAGAGUUUCUUGAUGGAAGCCAUCAAGGAUUCCAAAAGACUGUUCUCCUGUAGAAGAGACUUCCAACCUCUCUAAGCCACUCUUAAUUCCAUCACAAAUCAUCAGCACAUGUUCUGAAGUCUAAAUGGCCUGCCUUCGAUGGUAAUUCAUCAUGACCGUAAUCAUUAUCACUAAAAAAAACAGUGUGCACUGUUUUCCAUUGGAUUUCCUUUCUGUAUUUGAAAUAUGGCAAAAGUUACUAGAAUAGCAGGUCCACGCUCAAAAUCACAUUCAGUAACCAUAGCUCAUACUAUUACUAUGCGUAUUCAACUAUAGAGACAGCAAUCUAAAGACAACUUGAAAGUCUUGACGAGAGUUUGGGGAAGUAUUGAGUAGUUUUGAAAUGUUAUUACCAUUAAAUUCAUUGCUGCUUAUGUUCUCUGAGGUUUUAGCAUUGUGAGGUUUUCACGUAUAAACAAUUCUAUAGGUCAUAAGCCUUACAGAGAAAACUCCUCACAAGACACUACGACAGCGCUUUGGUGCCAUUGAGAAUGCUCAAUCAUCAUGGAAUGGUAGGAAAUGAAACGAACAAGAAGAGAAUAUAUUGAUAAAAUGAGUACGCUCUGUGA